rnacentral:rRNA from 1 species
AUUGAACGCUGGCGGCAGGCCUAACACAUGCAAGUCGAACGAGUGGCGGACGGGUGAGUAAUGUCUGGGAAACUGCCUGAUGGAGGGGGAUAACUACUGGAAACGGUAGCUAAUACCGCAUACCAUCAGAUGUGCCCAGGUGGGAUUAGCUAGUUGGUGGGGUAACGGCUCACCAAGGCGACGAUCCCUCGCUGGUCUGAGAGGAUGACCAGCCACACUGGACCUGAGCCACGGUCCAGACGCCUACGGUAGGCAGGAGUGGGGAAUAUUGCACAAUGGGCUCAAGGCUGAUGUAGCCAUGCCGCGUGUAGUAAGAAGUCCUGCGGGUUGUAAAGUACUUUCAGCGUGGUGGCGUUACCCGCAGAAGAAGCACCGGCUAACUCCGUGCCAGCAGCCGCGGUAAUAC